rnacentral:rRNA from 1 species
UAGGGAAUCUUCCGCAAUGGACGAAAGUCUGACGGAGCAACGCCGCGUGAGUGAAGAAGGAUUUCGGUUCGUAAAACUCUGUUGUUAGGGAAGAAAAAAUGUAUAGUAACUAUAUACAAAAGAGACGGUACCUAACCAGAAAGCCACGGCUAACUACGUGCCAGCAGCCGCGGUAAUACGUAGGUGGCAAGCGUUGUCCGGAAUUAUUGGGCGUAAAGCGCGCGCAGGUGGUUUAGAAAGUCUGAUGUGAAAGCCCACGGCUCAACCGUGGAGGGUCAUUGGAAACUAAUAAACUUGAGUGCAGGAGAGAAAAGUGGAAUUCCUAGUGUAGCGGUGAAAUGCGUAGUGAUUAGGAGGAACACCGGUGGCGAAAGCGGCUUUUUGGCCUGCAACUGACACUGAGGCGCGAAAGCGUGGGGAGCAAACAGG